rnacentral:rRNA from 1 species
AUUGAACGCUGGCGGCAUGCCUUACACAUGCAAGUCGAACGGCAGCACGGGAGCAAUCCUGGUGGCGAGUGGCGAACGGGUGAGUAAUAUAUCGGAACGUGCCCAGUAGUGGGGGAUAGCCCGGCGAAAGCCGGAUUAAUACCGCAUACGACCUACGGGUGAAAGCGGGGGAUCGCAAGACCUCGCGCGAUUGGAGCGGCCGAUGUCAGAUUAGCUAGUUGGUGGGGUAAAGGCCUACCAAGGCUACGAUCUGUAGUUGGUCUGAGAGGACGACCAGCCACACUGGGACUGAGACACGGCCCAGACUCCUACGGGAGGCAGCAGUGGGGAAUUUUGGACAAUGGGCGCAAGCCUGAUCCAGCAAUGCCGCGUGCAGGAAGAAGGCCUUCGGGUUGUAAACUGCUUUUGUCAGGGAAGAAAUCCUCUGGGUUAAUACCUCGGGGGGAUGACGGUACCUGAAGAAUAAGCACCGGCUAACUACGUGCCAGCCGCCGCCGUAACAC